AGCUCUGCGCAGCGGCGAUUUCGUACCCAAUGAGGAACAUCCGAGGUGGGAUUAUUGCUAAUUGAAGAAACCCAUCCAUAGUUUUUUCAUGCAAUCCCGCAUAUGGGUAUCGAAUGAAAUGGUUUGACUAAUAAAAU